GAAUUUUGGACAAUGGGCGCAAGCCUGAUCCAGCCAUGCCGCGUGAGUGAAGAAGGCCUUCUGUGUGGAAAGCUCAUGCGGACGGAAAGAACACUGCCAGGCUAAUACCCUGCGCGGGUGACGGUACCGUCAUAAGAAGCACCGGCUAACUGCGUGCCGGCAGCCGCGGUAAUACGUAGGGGGCGGGCGUUAAUCGGAAUUCCUGGGCGUAAAGCGUGCGCAGGCGGUUGAUUAAGACAGGCGUGAAAUCCCCGGGCUUAACCUGGGAACUGCGCUUGUGACUGGUCAGCUAGAGUACGGCAGAGGGGGGUGGAAUUCCACGUGUAGCAGUGAAAUGCGUAGAGAUGUGGAGGAACACCGAUGGCGAAGGCAGCCCCCUGGGCCGAUACUGACGCUCAUGCACGAAAGCGUGGGUAGCAAACAGG
rnacentral:rRNA from 1 species